AUUGAACGCUGGCGGCAUGCCUUACACAUGCAAGUCGAACGGCAGCACGGGAGCUUGCUCCUGGUGGCGAGUGGCGAACGGGUGAGUAAUACAUCGGAACGUACCCUGAAGUGGGGGAUAACGUAGCGAAAGUUACGCUAAUACCGCAUAUUCUGUGAGCAGGAAAGAGGGGGAUCGCAAGACCUCUUGCUUUAGGAGCGGCCGAUGUCGGAUUAGCUAGUUGGUGAGGUAAAGGCUCACCAAGGCGACGAUCCGUAGCGGGUCUGAGAGGAUGAUCCGCCAUACUGGGACUGAGACACGGCCCAGACUCCUACGGGAGGCAGCAGUGGGGAAUUUUGGACAAUGGGCGCAAGCCUGAUCCAGCCAUGCCGCGUGAGUGAAGAAGGCC
rnacentral:rRNA from 1 species